rnacentral:rRNA from 1 species
GAUGAACGCUGGCGGCGUGCUUAACACAUGCAAGUCGAACGGAAAGGCCCAAGCUUGCUUGGGUACUCGAGUGGCGAACGGGUGAGUAACACGUGGGUGAUCUGCCCUGCACUUCGGGAUAAGCCUGGGAAACUGGGUCUAAUACCGGAUAGGACGCUGGCUUGGAUGCCAUUGUGGAAAGUUUUUUCGGUGUGGGAUGAGCUCGCGGCGUAUCAGCUUGUUGGUGGGGUAAUGGCCUACCAAGGCGUCGACGGGUAGCCGGCCUGAGAGGGUGUACGGCCACAUUGGGACUGAGAGACGGCCCAGACUCCGACGGGAGGGAGCAGUGGGGAAUAUUUGACAAUGGGCGCAAGCCUGAUGCAGCGACGCCGCGGGGUGGAUGACGGCCUUCGGGUUGUAAACUCCUUUGGCUAGGAACGAAGCGUUUUUGUGACGGUACCUGGAGAAGAAGCACCGGCUAACUACGUG